AAAUUGUGUUUGCAAAUGCCGAAGUCUUCAGAACUGUCCAACAGUUCCGAACACCCUUUUAAUCUCCUCUUGGCGGGACGUCUUCAUCCAGAUUGCCCGAAAAAAGUGGAAAAGGCCAUUGCUGCUGGAAACUGGCUGUGAGGAAGCACCAACUCAUGACUGCUUCUGAAACACCAACGGCACGUUGCUCUUCUGCACUAGUUAGUAUUGUGUGUGCCAUUCCAGGCCAUAAGAAUAAGCCAAUAAGAUGAGAGGAAUGAAAACCUGUCACAAUCAUUCGAUGCAACCAGAGAGCCAAUGGAGAGGAGAAGCUGCACGAUUGCCCAAGAUGAAAAUGAAGAAAGGAAGGGGAGCUCUGGCUUAGCAACAGCAGAAAACAACUGUUCCUCCCUUCCCUGGCCAAGCUGUCUGUGUCCCCAGCCAGUUCAGAGGUGAUCAGGCUUGUUUGUUGGCAUGGAGAGGACAGAUGACAAAUAGGCUUAACUGCAGCACUGGAAUGCAAGAAAUGAAUCAGACAAGAGGAACCUGUGCCUCAUCUCACUCCCCUCACCCCACCCCUUGCCAGUGAAGAAGGCAGGAGGUUUUUCCCUCUCCGCCAAUGGGUUUGGUUUUACAAAUGCGUCUUUUGCGGCCUGAGUCAUAAGCCACGAUCACUUCGCAGCAAUGCAACCGCAGAAGCCCAUUCCAAAUGCAGCGAUGAUGCAUGCUUAUGUCAGAGGAAGCAUCUUCUUGGGAGAGGCAUUCCUUUUUGUGUGUCAGAAGGUGGAAAACCUUUUCUGGAAUGGUGCCUACCAUCUGCAACUCUUGUGCAUGGGUCCAAGAAGCAGAUUUCUGGAAGAAGGGUAAGGAGAACACUGUUAGGUACCUGCCAGACUCACUUUUUAGCAAUGGGAACACCACAAUCUGGAAGGAUCUACCAAGUGGUA